AAGCUCGUAGUUGAAUUUCGGGAUCAGACUGUCGGUCGUGCCUCGGUACGCACUGGCAUUAUUGGUUCCUACCUUCUGAAGAACCGCGAUGUCAUUAAUUUGGUGUCGCGGGGAAUCAGGACUGUUACUUUGAAAAAAAUUAGAGUGUUUAAAAGCAGGCUUACGCUUGAAUACAUUAGCAUGGAAUAAUGAAAUAGGACGUUUGAUUCUAUUUUGUUGGUUUCUAGGAUCGACGUAAUGAUUAAUAGGAUAGUUGGG
rnacentral:rRNA from 1 species